rnacentral:rRNA from 1 species
ACUCCUACGGGAGGCAGCAGUGGGAAUAUUGGACAAUGGGGGAAACCCUGAUCCAGCCAUGCCGCGUGCAGGAAGACUGCCCUAUGGGUUGUAAACUGCUUUUGUACAGGAAGAAACACUCCCUCGUGAGGGAGCUUGACGGUACUGUAAGAAUAAGGAUCGGCUAACUCCGUGCCAGCAGCCGCGGUAAUACGGAGGAUCCAAGCGUUAUCCGGAAUCAUUGGGUUUAAAGGGUCCGUAGGUGGAUGAUUAAGUCAGAGGUGAAAUCCUGCAGCUCAACUGUAGAAUUGCCUUUGAUACUGGUUGUCUUGAAUUAUUGUGAAGUAGUUAGAAUAUGUGGUGUAGCGGUGAAAUGCAUAGAUAUCACAUAGAAUACCGAUUGCGAAGGCAGAUUACUAACAAUACAUUGACACUGAUGGACGAAAGCGUGGGGAGCGAACAGGAUUAGAUACCCUGGUAGGCUCUG